rnacentral:rRNA from 1 species
AGCGAUUUAGCGGAAGUUUUCGGAUGGAAGCCAAAUUGACUGAGUGGCGGACGGGUGAGUAACGCGUGGGUAACCUGCCUCAUACAGGGGGAUAACAGUUAGAAAUGACUGCUAAUACCGCAUAAGCGCACGAGGAUGCAUGUUCUUGUGUGAAAAACUCCGGUGGUAUGAGAUGGACCCGCGUCUGAUUAGCUAGUUGGAGGGGUAACGGCCCACCAAGGCGACGAUCAGUAGCCGACCUGAGAGGGUGACCGGCCACAUUGGGACUGAGACACGGCCCAAACUCCUACGGGAGGCAGCAGUGGGGAAUAUUGCACAAUGGGGGAAACCCUGAUGCAGCAACGCCGCGUGAGUGAAGAAGUAUUUCGGUAUGUAAAGCUCUAUCAGCAGGGAAGAAGAUGACGGUACCUGAGUAAGAAGCCCCGGCUAACUACGUGCCAGCAGCCGCGGUAAUACGUAGGGGGCAAGCGUUAUCCGGAUUUACUGGGUGUAAAGGGAGCGUAGACGGCUGCGCAAGUCUGAAGUGAAAGCCCGGGGCUCAACCCCGGGACUGCUUUGGAAACUGUGUAGCUAGAGUGCUGGAGAGGCAAGCGGAAUUCCUAGUGUAGCGGUGAAAUGCGUAGAUAUUAGGAAGAACACCAGUGGCGAAGGCGGCUUGCUGGACAGUAACUGACGUUGAGGCUCGAAAGCGUGGGGAGCAAACAGGAUUAGAUACCCUGGUAGUCCACGCCGUANACGAUGAAUGCUAGGUGUUGGGGAGCAANGCUUCUCGGUGCCGC